GACGAACGCUGGCGGCGUGCUUAACACAUGCAAGUCGAACGGAAAGGCCCUGCUUUUGUGGGGUUCUCGAGGGGCGAACGGGUGAGGAACACGUGAGUAACCUGCCCUUGACUUUGGGAUAACUUCAGGAAACUGGGGCUAAUACCGUAUAGGAGCUCCUGUUGCAUGGUGGGGGUUGGAAAGUUUCGGCGGUUGGGGAUGGACUCGCGGCUGAUGAGCUUGUUGGUGGGGUAGUGGCUUACCAAGGCUUUGACGGGUAGCCGGCCUGAGAGGGUGACCGGCCACCUUGGUACUGCGAUACGGCCCAGACUCCUACGGUAGGCAGCAGUGGCGAAUAUUGCACAAUGGGCGGAAGCCUGAUGCAGCAACGCCGCGUGCGGGAUGACGGCCUUCGGGUUGUAAACCGCUUUCGCCUGUGACGAAGCGUGAGUGACGGUAAUGGGUAAAGAAGCACCGGCUAACUACGUG
rnacentral:rRNA from 1 species